rnacentral:rRNA from 1 species
GACGAACCGUGCGAACGUUAUUCGGAAUCACUGGGCUUAAAGGGCGCGUAGGCGGGCGGCCAAGUCAGAGGUGAAAGCCCCCAGCUCAACUGGGGAAGUGCCUUUGAUACUGGUCGUCUCGAGGGAGAUAGGGGCGUGCGGAACUUCCGGUGGAGCGGUGAAAUGCGUAGAUAUCGGAAGGAACACCGGUGGCGAAAGCGGCGCGCUGGAUCUCUUCUGACGCUGAGGCGCGAAAGCCAGGGGAGCGAACAGG